rnacentral:rRNA from 1 species
GACGAACGCUGGCGGCGUGCUUAACACAUGCAAGUCGAACGAUGAAGCCGGAGCUUGCUCUGGUGAAUUAGUGGCGAACGGGUGAGUAACACGUGAGUAACCUGCCCUUGACUCUGGGAUAACUGCUAGAAAUGGUAGCUAAUACCGGAUACGACCCUCGGAGGCAUCUUCAGGGGGUGGAAAGAAUUUCGGUCAAGGAUGGACUCGCGGCCUAUCAGCUAGUUGGUGAGGUAAUGGCUCACCAAGGCGACGACGGGUAGCCGGCCUGAGAGGGUGACCGGCCACACUGGGACUGAGACACGGCCCAGACUCCUACGGGAGGCAGCAGUGGGGAAUAUUGCACAACGGGCGCAAGCCUGAUGCAGCAACGCCGCGUGAGGGAUGACGGCCUUCGGGUUGUAAACCUCUUUUAGUAGGGAAGAAGCGAAAGUGACGGUACCUGCAGAAAAAGCACCGGCUAACUACGUGCCAGCAGCCCGCGGUAA